UACGGAGGGUGCGAGCGUUGUCCGGAAUCAUUGGGCGUAAAGGGCGCGUAGGUGGCGGCUUAAGCGUGCGGUGAAAGCUCGGGGCUCAACCCCGAGUCGGCCGUGCGAACUGAGUCGCUUGAGCACUGUAGAGGCAGGCGGAAUUCCGGGUGUAGCGGUGGAAUGCGUAGAGAUCCGGAAGAACACCGGUGGCGAAGGCGGCCUGCUGGGCAGUAGCUGACACUGAAGCGCGACAGCGUGGGGAGCAAACAGG
rnacentral:rRNA from 1 species